GCUUACGGCCAUACGCACUCUGAAAAAGCCUGAUCUCAUCUGACCUCGGAAGCAAAGCAGAGUUGGGCCUGGUUAGUACUUGGUUGGAGAGACUGAAUGGGAAUACUAGGUGCUGUAAGCU
ensembl:rRNA 5S_rRNA 5S ribosomal RNA